UUUCAUAUGGUAAAAAGCUUGAUAUUUUUUUGUUUUUGGGCUAUAAUUACAUAGCUAACUUAACAAGAGUAUUGGUGUGUGGUAAUCCGCCGGGGCUCGUGCAAUAGGAAACUAUGAACCUCGUCAGGUCCGAAAGGAAGCAGCGAUAAGUAGAAAUUCUUAUGUGCCACGAGGGUACCUGGCGGGUUAUCAUACACGAGUACUUUUUAGUUGGUGGAA
rnacentral:SRP_RNA from 1 species